rnacentral:rRNA from 1 species
GAUGAACGCUGGCGGCGUGCCUAAUACAUGCAAGUCGAACGGCAGCACGGGAGCAAUCCUGGUGGCGUGUGGCGAACGGGUGAGUAAUGUAUCGGAACGUGCCCAGUCGUGGGGGGUAACGUAGCGAAAGCUACGCUAAUACCGCAUACGAGCUAGGGAUGAAAGCGGGGGACAGUAAGGCCUCGCGCGAUUGGAGCGGCCGAUAUCAGAUUAGGUAGUUGGUGGGGUAAAGGCCUACCAAGCCGACGAUCUGUAGCUGGUCUGAGAGGACGACCAGCCACACUGGGACUGAGACACGGCCCAGACUCCUACGGGAGGCAGCAGUGGGGAAUUUUGGACAAUGGGCGCAAGCCUGAUCCAGCAAUGCCGCGUGCAGGAUGAAGGCCUUCGGGUUGUAAACUGCUUUUGUACGGAGCGAAAAGGCUCUCUCUAAUACAGGGGGCUCAUGACGGUACCGUAAGAAUAAGCACCGGCUAACUACGUGCCAGCAGCCGCGGUAA